GACGAACGCUGGCGGCGUGCUUAACACAUGCAAGUCGAGCGGUAAGGCCCUUUCGGGGGUACACGAGCGGCGAACGGGUGAGUAACACGUGGGUGACCUGCCCUUAGCUCUGGGAUAAGCCUGGGAAACUGGGUCUAAUACCGGAUAUGACUCCAUGACGCAUGUUGUGGGGUGGAAAGCCUUGUGCGGCUAGGGAUGGGCCCGCGGCCUAUCAGCUUGUUGGUGGGGUGAUGGCCUACCAAGGCGACGACGGGUAGCCGGCCUGAGAGGGCGACCGGCCACACUGGGGACUGAGACACGGCCCAGACUCCUACGGGAGGCAGCAGUGGGGAAUCUUGCGCAAUGGGCGAAAGCCUGACGCAGCGACGCCGCGUGGGGA
rnacentral:rRNA from 1 species